rnacentral:rRNA from 1 species
AGACACAGCAAGUACCAUGAGGGAAAGAUGAAAAGGACUUUGAAAAGAGGUUUAAAAGUGCAUGAACUCGCUGAAAGGAAAUCGGAUGGAACCAGUCGUGCUCGGCGAGAUUGUUGCGUGCAAAAGUGACUACUCACUGCUUGUAGCGUAAGCGCAACGACGGGUUUCGAUCUGGUCGUGCGUGACGCCUCUUGCCUUGUUCGUCAUCGUUGGUUCGGAGGCGCGGACAACUCUUGGGACGUGCUAACUUGCCCUCGGGCGAGCGAAUGUGCCCUGCAGAACUCAUCUCCAAACUGAUGUCUCUUGUUAGGUUAUGUUGCCGUACACGGCACGUUCUUGACAAAGCGUGGUGACGGAAUGGUUCUAUUCGACCCGUCUUGAAACAUGGACCAAGGAGUCUAACAUAUAUGCAAGUACUUGGGUGGCGAAACCUAGCGUCAGCAACCGACCAAUCAAUUGGGAGAGGUGUGAGCAUGAGCAUAUCUGUUAGGACCCGAAAGAUGGUGAACUACCCCUGA